GUGCUCACUUCAGCAGCACAUGUACUAAAAUUGUAAGAAAAAAGAGAUUAGCAAGGCCCCUGCACAAGGAUGCCAAGCAAAUUGGUAAAGCAUUCCAUAAUUUU